rnacentral:rRNA from 1 species
GACAGAGGUGCCGAGCGUUAGGCGGAAUCACUGGGCUUAAAGCGUGUGUAGGCGGACCGUUAAGUACCCUGUGAAAUCCCCCGGCUCAACCGGGGAACGGCUGGGUAUACUGGCGGUCUUGAGCCAUCCAGGGGCAGUCGGAACAGACGGUGGAGCGGUGAAAUGCGUAGAUAUCAGGAGGAACACCGAUGGCGAAGGCAGGUCUCUGGGCUGUAACUGACGCUGAGGAGCGAAAGCAUGGGGAGCGAACAGG